ensembl:lncRNA
CAAGAGAAAGCCCAGGAGGAGGAAGAGGAGAGUGGUGAGGAGAACAGAGAGGAGCCCAGACCCAGCCCUUAGUCUCUCUGGAGGACGGAGGUUUAGUGUCCAGAUCCGGUAGAGUGACAGUGAGCAGGAAGCAUCAACAGCACAGCCCUGAACCCAUGAAGCAGGGACAGGAGGCUCUGGUGAAAGAACGUUCCAGAACGCCGAACUUAGAUGCAGACGCAGAAGGCUCCGCACCAGGGCAGAGGGCAAGUUGAGCGGCUCUCCUGCGAGCGGAGCAGAGACAGGUGGACCCAAACAGCAAAAGAGAUAUCGCGAGACCCUGGGAUCCCGCGGACCAACGCCGCGUGUGGAGAGAGGGCGUCUCGUCGCUCCAGCAGGAAGGCGCCCCCAGCCCACCGCUGGUCCUCCCGCUGCCGUUGAAGUGCCGUGCCUCCCUCCGCUGUAGGCAGGCCCAGGCGGGGACGGUCCCGCUCCUCCGAGGCCUUCCUCCGGGUCUGUCCCGUGUCUUCUGUCCUGAGGAGACUGAAUGACCGAAGAGGUGACGUCCCGACGUGCGGCCCUGCGCUCCGGGCGGAUUCUUUACCAUCUGAACCACCAGUGGGUGAAGGGAUGAGCAAACAUGCUAAGUUCAUAUGAUGACAGUGACCCAGCCUUGACAAGGAAGGCAGUCCUGACACAGGCGACAGCAUGGAUGGACAUGGAUGGACAUGCCAGUCACAGAAGGACAGGUCAUGAAUGUUAAGAUUCCAGAAGAAACCUACACUACAUCUCAUCUCAAUGAAAGAGUAACUGGAAAUUUCAACACAAAGGGAAAGAGUCUACAGAUGAAAAUAAUUUUAUGACCCAGAAUGGAUGAAUACAUUGCCAAGAUGUUCGGCCAUUCAGAAAUCGUCACCAGCAUGAAGUUCACCUACGACUGAUCACAGUGUCCGGAGACAACUGCGUCUUCGUCCAGCACGUGGGCCGCGAGAUCACCAGCUGCUUGAAGCAGCACUUGCUGGAGAUCAACCCCCAGGAGCAGCAGCAGCAGAACACAAAGGAUAGGAAGGGGAGCAGCCGGCCCAGGCAGGAGGCCAAUACCCAGGCCUGAGAUGUGCUCCCUGAGCCCUGGGAGCAGACGGGGAAUGAGGCAGACGGAGAGUGUGAACCCGAAGAGGUGCUGAAGAUGCCGUCGAAAGAGAGCUUGGGUCCAGAUCUUCAGUGCCUGCUGAUCAACGGCAUGCUGCCACUCUGGGCAAGGCAGCUGGUGAGUCUGCCUGGAAAGCGGGACACCGAGG